rfam:Callipepla squamata strain Texas jcf7180005224115, whole genome shotgun sequence.
CCCCCUCAGCUAACAAGGAGGUUUAAACUCCUGUUUUUAGAAUCACAAUCUAAUGUUUUGAGAGAGUUCAAGAGGGCAUGAAACUGUUAAGAGGUUCCCGCGGACGGUGUGAGGCCGGUAGCGGCCCCCCGGCGCACCGGGCCCGGGGCUUCUCGGAGUCGGGUUGCUUGGGAAUGCAGCCCAAAGCGGGUGGUAAACUCCAUCUAAGGCUAAAUACCGGCACGAGACAGAUAGCCAAAAAGUACCGUAAGGGAAAGUUGAAAAGAACUAUGAAGAGAGAGAGUGUCCAAACUGAG